GUACAAGGUUGAUCCUUCGCAAAAGACACUUGCGUAAGCCUUUGCAGCUGGAGACAGUAGCCCAACGACUGUAAACAAUUGGCGCCUCAUGCAAGUCAGCUCCGGCUGGCGACACUUUCGAAUUGCGGGGAACCCCUAAGAGCUCUUCACACCAAGCCAGCCCGGGAAACCGGCUGGUGGCCCAUUGGAAACCAUGGGGUACGGUAACAGUUGAAGAGAUGACCCGGCCAGCCGGUGAAAUGGGCGAUCCGCAGCGAAGCCCCUUCUGUUGGUGGUAGCAGCCUUGGCCGCAGCCAAACAUGGGGAACGUUCACAGACUAAGUGGAAGUGGGUGGGGCCUAGCCCUGCUUAAGAUAUAGUCGGGCCCCCUUGGAAACUUGGGGGGGUGAGUUCGGCCUCCUGGCCGGCUCCAAGCAAACCGUUCCGUAGGUGAACCUGCGGAAGGAUCAUUAUCCAUCUCAAACCAGGUGCGGUCGCGGCCCCCGGGGGCUUGCUCCCGGGUGGUAGGGGUAACACCUGCACGCGCCGCCUGCCUGUACCCUCUUUUUACGAGCACCUUUCGUUCUCCUUCGGCGGGGCAACCUGCCGCUGGAACCAAAACAAAACCUUUUUUGCAUCUAGCAUUACCUGUUCUGAUACAAACAAUCGUUACAACUUUCAACAAUGGAUCUCUUGGCUCUGGCAUCGAUGAAGAACGCAGCGAAAUGCGAUAAGUAGUGUGAAUUGCAGAAUUCAGUGAAUCAUCGAAUCUUUGAACGCACAUUGCGCCCCUUGGUAUUCCAUGGGGCAUGCCUGUUCGAGCGUCAUCUACACCCUCAAGCUCUGCUUGGUGUUGGGCGUCUGUCCCGCCUCUGCGCGCGGACUCGCCCCAAAUUCAUUGGCAGCGGUCUUUGCCUCCUCUCGCGCAGCACAAUUGCGUCUGCGGGGGGGCGUGGCCCGCGUCCACGAAGCAACAUUACCGUCUUUGACCUCGGAUCAGGUAGGGAUACCCGCUGAACUUAAGCAUAUCAAUAAGCGGAGGAAAAGAAACCAACAGGGAUUGCCCUAGUAACGGCGAGUGAAGCGGCAACAGCUCAAAUUUGAAAUCUGGCUCUCUUUGGGGGUCCGAGUUGUAAUUUGCAGAGGAUGCUUUGGCAUUGGCGGCGGUCUAAGUUCCUUGGAACAGGACAUCACAGAGGGUGAGAAUCCCGUACGUGGUCGCCUGCCCUUGCCGUGUAAAGCUCCUUCGACGAGUCGAGUUGUUUGGGAAUGCAGCUCUAAAUGGGAGGUAAAUUUCUUCUAAAGCUAAAUACUGGCCAGAGACCGAUAGCGCACAAGUAGAGUGAUCGAAAGAUGAAAAGUACUUUGGAAAGAGAGUCAAAAAGCACGUGAAAUUGUUGAAAGGGAAGCGCUUGCAGCCAGACUUGCCCGSGGUUGCUCAMCUAGGCUUUCGCCUGGGGCACUCUUCUGCGGGCAGGCCAGCAUCAGUUUGGGCGGUUGGAUAAAGGCCUCUGUCACGUAUCUCCCUUCGGGGUGACCUUAUAGGGGAGGCGCAAUGCAACCAGCCCGGACUGAGGUCCGCGCAUCUGCUAGGAUGCUGGCGUAAUGGCUGUAAGCGGCCCGUCUUGAAACACGGACCAAGGAGUCUAACAUCUAUGCGAGUGUUUGGGUGUCAAGCCCGAGCGCGCAAUGAAAGUGAACGGAGGUGGGAACCCUUUGGGUGCACCAUCGACCGAUCCUGAUGUCUUCGGAUGGAUUUGAGUAAGAGCAUAGCUGUUGGGACCCGAAAGAUGGUGAACUAUGCUUGAAUAGGGUGAAGCCAGAGGAAACUCUGGUGGAGGCUCGCAGCGGUUCUGACGUGCAAAUCGAUCGUCAAAUUUGGGCAUAGGGGCGAAAGACUAAUCGAAC
rnacentral:rRNA from 1 species